rnacentral:misc_RNA from 1 species
GAUGAAGAACGCAGCGAAAUGCGAUAAGUAAUGUGAAUUGCAGAAUUCAGUGAAUCAUCUAAUCUUUGAACGCACAUUGCGCCCGCCAGUAUUCUGGCGGGCAUGCCUGUUCGAGCGUCAUUUCAACCAUCAAGCCCCCGGCUUGUGUUGGGGACCUGCGGCUGCCGCAGGCCCUGAAAAGCAGUGGCGGGCUCGCUGUCACACCGAGCGUAGUAGAUUUCAUCUCGCUCAGGGCGUGCUGCGGGUUCCGGCCGUUAAACCACCUUCAUAACCCAAGGUUGACCUCGGAUCAGGUAGGAAGACCCGCUGAACUUAAGCAUAUCAAUAAGCGGAGGA